rnacentral:rRNA from 1 species
AGUGAACGCUGGCGGUAGGCCUAACACAUGCAAGUCGAACGGCAGCACAGGAGAGCUUGCUCUCUGGGUGGCGAGUGGCGGACGGGUGAGGAAUACAUCGGAAUCUGCCCAGUCGUGGGGGAUAACGUAGGGAAACUUACGCUAAUACCGCAUACGACCUUCGGGUGAAAGAGGGGGAUCGCAAGACCUCUCGCGAUUGGAUGAGCCGAUGUCGGAUUAGCUAGUUGGCGGGGUAAUGGCCCACCAAGGCGACGAUCCGUAGCUGGUCUGAGAGGAUGAUCAGCCACAGGGGAAGGUAAACGCGGCCAAGACCCCACGGGGGGGGAGCAGGGGGAAAUAUGGGACAAGGGGCUCAACCCUGAUCCACCAAUCCGGGGGGGGAAAAGAGGGCAUGGGGUUUGAAAAGCCGUUUGGUGGGGAAAAAAUUCUUUCAGGCUAAUACCCUGGGGGGAGGACGGUACCAAAAAAAUAAGCCCCGGCAAAUUUGGGC